UCAUCUCCGGGGGUAGAGCACUGUUUCGGCAAGGGGGUCAUCCCGACUUACCAACCCGAUGCAAACUGCGAAUACCGGAGAAUGUUAUCACGGGAGACACACGGCGGGUGCUAACGUCCGUCGUGAAGAGGGAAACAACCCAGACCGCCAGCUAAGGUCCCAAAGUCAUGGUUAAGUGGGAAACGAUGUGGGAAGGCCCAGACAGCCAGGAUGUUGGCUUAGAAGCAGCCAUCAUUUAAAGAAAGCGUAAUAGCUCACUGGUCGAGUCGGCCUGCGCGGAAGAUGUAACGGGGCUAAACCAUGCACCGAAGCUGCGGCAGCGACNNNNNNNNNNNNNNNNNNNNNNNNNNNNNNNNNNNNNNNNNNAUGCUGGAGGUAUCAGAAGUGCGAAUGCUGACAUAAGUAACGAUAAAGCGGGUGAAAAGCCCGCUCGCCGGAAGACCAAGGGUUCCUGUCCAACGUUAAUCGGGGCAGGGUGAGUCGACCCCUAAGGCGAGGCCGAAAGGCGUAGUCGAUGGGAAACAGGUUAAUAUUCCUGUACUUGGUGUUACUGCGAAGGGGGGACGGAGAAGGCUAUGUUGGCCGGGCGACGGUUGUCCCGGUUUAAGCGUGUAGGCUGGUUUUCCAGGCAAAUCCGGAAAAUCAAGGCUGAGGCGUGAUGACGAGGCACUACGGUGCUGAAGCAACAAAUGCCCUGCUUCCAGGAAAAGCCUCUAAGCAUCAGGUAACAUCAAAUCGUACCCCAAACCGACACAGGUGGUCAGGUAGAGAAUACCAAGGCGCUUGAGAGAACUCGGGUGAAGGAACUAGGCAAAAUGGUGCCGUAACUUCGGGAGAAGGCACGCUGAUAUGUAGGUGAGGUCCCUCGCGGAUGGAGCUGAAAUCAGUCGAAGAUACCAGCUGGCUGCAACUGUUUAUUAAAAACACAGCACUGUGCAAACACGAAAGUGGACGUAUACGGUGUGACGCCUGCCCGGUGCCGGAAGGUUAAUUGAUGGGGUUAGCGGUAACGCGAAGCUCUUGAUCGAAGCCCCGGUAAACGGCGGCCGUAACUAUAACGGUCCUAAGGUAGCGAAAUUCCUUGUCGGGUAAGUUCCGACCUGCACGAAUGGCGUAAUGAUGGCCAGGCUGUCUCCACCCGAGACUCAGUGAAAUUGAACUCGCUGUGAAGAUGCAGUGUACCCGCGGCAAGACGGAAAGACCCCGUGAACCUUUACUAUAGCUUGACACUGAACAUUGAGCCUUGAUGUGUAGGAUAGGUGGGAGGCUUUGAAGUGUGGACGCCAGUCUGCAUGGAGCCGACCUUGAAAUACCACCCUUUAAUGUUUGAUGUUCUAACGUUGACCCGUAAUCCGGGUUGCGGACAGUGUCUGGUGGGUAGUUUGACUGGGGCGGUCUCCUCCUAAAGAGUAACGGAGGAGCACGAAGGUUGGCUAAUCCUGGUCGGACAUCAGGAGGUUAGUGCAAUGGCAUAAGCCAGCUUGACUGCGAGCGUGACGGCGCGAGCAGGUGCGAAAGCAGGUCAUAGUGAUCCGGUGGUUCUGAAUGGAAGGGCCAUCGCUCAACGGAUAAAAGGUACUCCGGGGAUAACAGGCUGAUACCGCCCAAGAGUUCAUAUCGACGGCGGUGUUUGGCACCUCGAUGUCGGCUCAUCACAUCCUGGGGCUGAAGUAGGUCCCAAGGGUAUGGCUGUUCGCCAUUUAAAGUGGUACGCGAGCUGGGUUUAGAACGUCGUGAGACAGUUCGGUCCCUAUCUGCCGUGGGCGCUGGAGAACUGAGGGGGGCUGCUCCUAGUACGAGAGGACCGGAGUGGACGCAUCACUGGUGUUCGGGUUGUCAUGCCAAUGGCACUGCCCGGUAGCUAAAUGCGGAAGAGAUAAGUGCUGAAAGCAUCUAAGCACGAAACUUGCCCCGAGAUGAGUUCUCCCUGACNGUCCUGAAGGAACGUUGAAGACGACGACGUUGAUAGGCCGGGUGUGUAAGCGCAGCGAUGCGUUGAGCUAACCGGUACUAAUGAACCGUGAGGCUUAACCUU
rnacentral:rRNA from 1 species